UCUUAGUUUGUUUUUUUUUUUUUUUUAUAUACUUAUGUUUACCUUACUACUCCACGAGACUCCAGGACUAGGUUAGAUGCUUUAGGCAUCGACUUUAAUUUACUACUGUUCUCUUAUUGGCUGUUAUUGAACUGUGUAGACUGUAGGCUCUCUUUCCUUUAUAUAAUCUGUAUCAUUGCAUAAGGGGCAAAGAGCCACAGAUGAAUUUUUGCGUGGUCUCUAAUCCAAGAUUGGUUUGAUUUACAAUGUUGGUGCUGUAUACUGCAACACUUACUCUAGGUUUGUGGUAUGUGCACAAGUUGUUUGCAUCAUCAGUUGUGAAUGAACAAGUUUCUUGUUACUAAUUAAGAAAUAGAUCAGGAAAAAAUUAAAAACAUGGGCCAUAUUUUAUUGCUUUUUUUUUUUUUUUUUAUGAAAAAUGAUCACUUAACACAUUGGUUUGAGUAUUGCUUGCAUAGGGUGGGCAUUAUUGAUUCAAAUUCAAUACUAGGUAUACCUCAUUUGCUACAAGAUUCAGUGGCAUCUAAUACAUUUUUUCAAGCACGGGAAGGGGGGGAGAGCAGGUCAUUUUUUAUUUUUAAUUUUUUCUUGAGUUUUUCUUAUUCAAGUUUUGGGUGGGCAGUAUGGUGAUGACUAAUUGGCUAACGUCAAUAGACACUUCAAAAUUUAUUCUACAUGCAUAGAUGACAUUUCUAAAGUGAAACUUCCAUGUUCAUGGUGACAACUAAGCUGUUUGUAUGAGAUCUCUGGCAAUGGAGCACUGGAUAUUGGUGACUAGCUUUCAGGCUAUUCUGACCCUCAAAACAGUGGAGAGAGGUUAUUUGAUGCAGACAGCCAUAGAUUUCCCCCUAAGUCGGGGUUUAAACCAAAAUCUUAUGAAUUAGAGUUGGGCUUGGUUUUGGAGGUUUGGAAGGGGAGGCUUGAACAAUUGGUCUUGUAGCAGAAUGAGAAAGUAUGGUCAAGUGUAAACUUACAGUAUGUCGAGGAUCGGGGAUUUAUAUAUGCUUGAAUGUGGAUGGAGUAUAUGGGCCGAUGCAGUUGGUAUUGUGACUGGCUUUGGGAAGAUCUAUGGCUAAGAUAUUACAGGUUUAUACGGCUGUGAUCUCUGGUCUCCUUGCAUCAACUUUCAUCUUUAUGGUAUCCUAAUCACCUAACAGUCUUGACCAGGAUUCUGCAGGAAAACCAGAAUUGCAGGGAUAAGUGUGGAUCAGAUUCAGGAUGAAAAUCUGUGGCUCACAAUCCAGCUAUAAAAAAUUCAGGUCGAAUGGUCUAUCCAGGUCAAGACCUAACCCUCAAAAUCUCACAUUAAUCCAACGGUGGAUUGGGAGGUGUGGACUAGGCCAGAAAAUAGGAUCUCAAGUCAAAAUUAGAAAUUCAGGAAUUUUAGAUGUAUUUUGAGAUUGGUAACUUCUAAAGUGAUAGGAUUCAGAAACUCUUGACAGUCAAGAAAUUAGAAAGCUUCUAAAUUUGGAAGAUGUUUGAAAAUGGUAACUGAUGAGCCUCAGUACUGUAGCACCAUGCGCAGAUCAGUAGCUUAAUAAAUUGAAUUCAAAUAAGCCAACAUAAUAGGAUACUUAAAAUUAGUAGCCUUCAAAAGAAGAAAAAAAAGAGAGAAGGUGGGUGAACAAUGAUCAGAACAAGGGAGCACUGGUAUGCGACUACAGUAUUGGUAUUCCAAUGCUCCUCUUGUAGUGAUCAGACUUACUGUAACAAGGACUGAAGAUAUGCUCUGCAACAUGGGGUGAGUUUUGAAAAUAGAAACCCAGACUAUGACAAAGAGGAACUGAAAAUUGGAUACCUUGUCAACUGUAGGAAAUGUAGAACGACGGCUGACUUGAGGUGUGCAGUUGAAGAUGAAGAAUUGAAAGAAGAACAUGGAAAUGUUGGUCUCCUAUAGAAGAUGGCCUCUCACCAAUCUCCAUCUUGGAAUCUCACCUAGGUUUGCUCUCUCUCGCAGCUGGCCUCUCAUACUAACGCACAUGAACAUAGCAAGGUUCUAUUUUCUUUCAAAACCCCGCCCGGGGGGGGGGGUGGACUGGCCCUUCUUUAUUAAUAGAAUUGCCUUGCUACACAGGAAGGGAACUCUCCUUAGGUAAGGGAGAGUUUUAAUAGAAUAGAAACUAAAUAAAAGCUUACAAAAAUAGAAACUCAUAUGUAGAAACCUAAUAUACUAAAUGACUAUGAAACAGAAACUAGAAUCUUAAACAGAAAAUAAUCUCCAAAGAAUAUUCUCCACAUGAGGCAGCUUUAUGACUUCUUGAAACUCCUCCACACAGCUGACUGGUCCUAAAACAGACUCAUAUUGAACCCACAAAGAACCAAACUAAACCCGACCAGGUUAACUCAGGGCUGGACCUAGUUUAGGCCUUUAUUUGUGCGGGAAUGUUUCUGCUGGAACCUCUGAUCCACAUCACAUCAACUCGUCAUUUCUCUAGCUUUUCAGGUUGUGAGACGGUUUGGUUUUAGGAAAUUUGCAGUUAUAUUUCUGAAUGUGAAUAUUCUGCUUCAACUGAAUAUAACAACGUGAAUGCCAUAGUGAAUUGGCAUCCAAGGUACUGUUGGGUCACAUAUACCAUGGUUGUCAUGUUUGAGGAUCCCCCCCCCCCCCCUUCUUAUAUUGCAAGAGAAAAUCCGGCGAAUGAAAAGAUUAAGGUCUGAAGCAUUGUGAAUUGAAUUGGCUGAUACACGUCAAUUGGUAGAGGCCGAUCGGAUGUUACCUCUUGGAAGAGAUGAUUUGGUUCUAUGGAAGUUGAAAUUACAGUCUCUGGUAUAAAGCAUGUGCUUGCAAGAGUGCUUUGCCUCUCAGAAAGGAUACAAGUGCUAUCAUCCUCCUACUGGUUGCCUCUUUGUUACUGUUGAUGUCACCUUUCACGAAUCUGAAUCAUACUUCCAAUCAUCUCUUGAGGGGGAGAAUGUUAUGACCAAGAUUCCUUCUAGUACCUUUCUCAUUGACACUAUUUGUAUUGAGGGGGAGGACAGAAGCGGUUCCUACUGAGGGGGAGGUUGGUGAUGCUCUAAUUCUGGAAUUGACCAGCAGAAGACAAAGCAGCCCAUCACCGGCCUACCAUGUCGAUCGGUACUUCCUGAUUCACCUGCAUUCUAGUAAGCUGCCACUGAUCCCAAGUGGAAGGAAGCCAUGAUGGAAGAAAUUAAGGUUCUGGGAAAAAAUGGCACUUGGGACCUUGUUACUCUCCCAAGAGGAAAAAUACCAGUGGGAUGCAAAUGGGUUGACUGUAAAGAAAAAAGCAUAGGGCAGUAUUGACCGAUACAAGGCCAAGUUGGUUGCAAAAGCCUUUACCCAAACCUAUGGCAUCGAUUACCAAGUUACAUUUGUUCUAGUAGCAAAGAUGAACCCAGUUCAGGUACUCCUAUCAUGUGCUACAAACCUUGGGUGGAGUCUUCAACAACUAUAUAUUAAAAAUGCUAUCCUCCUCGGUGAUCUUGGAGAAGUGUACAUGGAUACACCUCCAGGUUUCACCUCAUCAUCUACAAAUGGAAAGGUGUGCAAGUUGAGGAAAUCUUUGUAUGGGCUCAAACAGUCACCAGGAGCUUGGUUCGACAGGUUUCUAAAGGCCAUGUGGAAAUUUGGAUACAUACAAAGUUAUCUUGAUCAUGCCUUGUUUAUAAAUUGAAAUGACAGUAAGAUCACUACUCCUAUCGUCUAUGUUGAUGAUAUAGUAGUAACAACCUUGCAGGUUGUGAUGACGUAGAGAUAUCCAAGUUAAAGGAUCAGUUGGCCGAGGAUUUAAAACCAAAGAUUUAGGCCCUCUCAAAUAUUUCUCGGAAAUAGAGGUAGCCAGAUCCAAUAAUGGUAUUAUUAUUUCCCAACGAAUAUGUCCUAGACCUUCUCUGCAAAACUGGUAUGAUUGGUUGUAAGCCUGCACUCCCUUAUUGAGGUCAACCAUCAAAUCAGUAGCAAUGGUGCUGAACCUGUGGAUAAGGAAAGGCAUCAAAGGCUCGUUGGCAAAUUGAUAUCCCUAUCACAUGCCAUACCUGAUAUUGCCUAUGCUGUGGGAGUAGUGAGUCGGUGUCUACACGAUCCACAAACUGCACAUCUAGACACAGUACACUGGAUUCUGAGGUACCUAAAAUCUUCUCUUGGGAAGGGAAUUUUAUUCUCCGAUCAUGGCAAUCUGAAAUUGGAAGCCUUUGCUGAGCUGAUUGGACAGGUUAUAUAGAUGAUCGAUGAUCGACCUCUCCUAGGGGGAAUGUAGUUUCUUGGAGAAGUAAAAAAUGACCCAUGAUAUCUAGAUCAAAUGCUGAAGCAGAUUACCUCGCAAUGGCUCAAGUUGUAUGUGAACUCAUCAAGGAGAAAUUUGAACAAAGACUCUAUUUACAUUCUGUUUGUCAAGUCUGAAAAUCAGCUAACUGAUGUAUUUUUAAAGGGUUUUUACUUGUAAGGUGUUUCAUCCUAUUAUAUGAACGUUGGGCAUAUGAGAUAUCUGUGCAUCAACUUGAGGGGGAGUGUUAAGGAUAGGAUAAGUAUGCCACCUCGUAUAUGUGUGUACGUGUACCACCUAACUUUGUACCACUUUCCA